AGCCUGCGGUUUAAUCGGACUCAACGCCGGGAAACUCACCAGAUAAGACAGCUGAAUGAUAGUCGGGCUGAAGACUCACUUGACUAGCUGAGAGGAGGUGCAUGGCCGUCGUCAGUUCGUACUGUGAAGCAUCCUGUUAAGUCAGGCAACGAGCGAGACCCGCGCCAACAGUUGCCAGCUCGUCCUCCGGGAUGGUGGGGACACUGUUGGGACCGCCUCUGCUAAAGAGGAGGAAGGAAUGGGCAACGGUAGGUCAGCAUGCCCCGAAUUAUCUGGGCUACACGCGGGCUACAAUGGGUGGGACAAUGGGUAUCGACACCGAAAGGUGAAGGCAAUCUCCUAAACCCAUCCGUAGUUCGGAUUGUGGGCUGCAACUCGCCCACAUGAAGCUGGAAUCUGUAGUAAUCGUGUCUCAAAAUGGCACGGUGAAUAUGUCCCUGCUCCUU
rnacentral:rRNA from 1 species